ACUCUUGCUUCCUCUCUUGCCAUGUGAAACACUUGCUCCUCUUUUGCCUUCCAUCAUAAUUGUAGGCUUCCUGCAGCCUCCUCAGAAGCAGAUGCUGGAGCCAUGCUUGCACAGCCUGCAAAACCGUGAAGACACAGCAACAGUGUCAUUUAUGGAACAGAGAUUUAGAUCACCAGAUACUGAAUCUGCCUAUGCCUUGAUAUUGGACAUCACAGUCUUCAAAACUGUAUAAAUAAAUUUAUGUUAUUUAUAAAAUAA